CAACCGCAUCUACAACAGCUCUCUACUCAAGUCCAACUCUUCUGAUUAUGCGAUCUUGUACAAACAAGUUACUGACAUGCUCAACUCCAUCUACGGCUGUGCCACGUGUAAAACACACGUGUUUUAUGGCAAUGUGUCAGCGAUGUCCUUCAGCAAUCAAACUGGAACCGUGCUCGUAAAGGCUAGUCUCGUGUUCCAGUCAAACAAAACCAACGCUGAUGAGAUCAAAGGGCUGUUUAUGAACGCGACCGCUGCCGAUAACGAAAUAAACGGCCUUAAAGUCAACCCUAAUUUCACACAAGUUUCAGUGAAAUCUGAGGAGGCUCCGAAUGCUUUAGUGACUUACGAGCUCACCAUGGACAUCACCAACCGCAUCUACAACAGCUCUCUACUCAAGUCCAACUCUUCUGAUUAUGCGAUCUUGUACAAACAAGUUACUGACAUGCUCAACUCCAUCUACGGCUGUGCCACGUGUAAAACACACGUGUUUUAUGUCAAUGUGUCAGCGAUGACCUUCAGCAAUCAAACUGGAACCGUGCUCGUAAAGGCUAGUCUCGUGUUCCAGUCAAACAAAACCAACGCUGAUGAGAUCAAAGGGCUGUUUAUGAACGCGACCGCUGCCGAUAAGGAAAUAAACGGCCUUAAAGUCAACCCUAAUUUCACACAAGUCAUAGCACCACCGUCCACCCCUGCACCAACUGUCUCCAGCACUUCCCAUACAACCAAGUCUCCACUUCUUGCAACUACACACUACAACACCGCCUCGUCCUUUAAUCAAAGUCCCAUUGCUCUGACGUCAAUUCUCCGCUAUACUGUUUCGUUCUGCCUGCUUUACUUCCUCAGCUAUUCUUUUUAAUUGUGUAAACCUGCCACUAGGGGCAGUGCAACAUCUUUAUAUAAUGAAAUACGUUAAUCUACAGGGUGUACCAACAAUCUCCUUACAUAGUGGACUAUGUUCACCAGCAUCACGUCGGUUGUGUCUUUAUGAGUGGAUGUUGGUGAAUGUCCACUUCUCGGUCUGCAACACUUAUAUAUAUAUAUAUAUAUAUAUAUAUAUAUAUAUAUGAAAUAAAUGCUAAGUAUGAAAAUUUUGGAAGACAUUUUGCUAAAAAAUGGUUAAUUCCUCCUGUGUAUGGAGACUUUUGGGACAUCCUGUGUAAUAUAAAUAAAUCUGAAAUAGUUAUUAUCUUUUCCCUGUGGGGGUUUCCUCUGGGUUCUCCAGAGUUCUUCCUCCCAAUUAACAAUGACAACAAAAAAAACAUGCCGGCAGAUUACCCCUACGUUUGAACAAGUGUGUGAAAAAAUGUGUGUGUGCAGGGUGCCAUGCGAUGGACUGGCUCACUUAACCCCCGGUGUUCCUAUGAUUGGCUCCGGAUACUGAAAAUAAUUGAAUGGAUGGAUGAAAUAUUUGUACUAUUAACAUUAUGCUAUAAUGGUCUAAGUAAUGGCAAGUAAAUGAUUGUUUUCUUUUGUGGUGCUUUACUUUACAUAUUUUACAAGAUUUAAAAAAAAUAAAAAUCUCAAUCUAUUCAAAUUUAUUCUCUUGUAAUGAGAAUGUGUUAAAACAAUAAUGUCACAUGACUGAACAAAUAUUCUUGAAUGAAAUGUGUAGAAAUGAUCGAUUGAAACUCAUUUGUCGAAACUUUAUGAGCAUAUAACAUAAUAUCACAAAAAUAUAUAUGAUAUGAUAUGAUAUAGUUUUGCGUCUUUACUGCCUUUACAUACGUUUUUCCUGUAUGCUUCUUGACCAACUUGUCAUGUUCCAAUUAUUAUAAUACAUCCUUUCAUACCACAGCACUGUCCAGAUGAUAGAUUAUGAUCGUUAAGGUGUUAAUAAACUUUCUAUAACAGCAUGUUUGACAAUAGUUCUGCUAG
ensembl:lncRNA